rnacentral:rRNA from 1 species
CGAACGGGGAGAUUCAUCGUCAGCGGACGCCGGCUUCGCGUCGGUCGGCGAUGUCCCGCGGGGGCCCUCGCGGCUCUCAGCGCGGGCACGCUGCCGUGCGCCGAUGUAUCCGGCUUCGCCGUCGUGCACUUCUCCCCUGGUAGAACGUCGCGACCCGCUGGGUGUCGGUCUACGGCCCGGGUGCGGUGUCUGACGCGCCGCCGGUAAAACGGCGCGCGUCAAACCCCCGGUCGCCCGGCCGGCUGCCCGGCGGUACGCGCAAGGUAUCAGGCCGCACACACAUUUGAACGGUGCGUCGAGGCCGUCGCAAGCGCGCGCCACGGUACACGGAGGUACGGACCUAGCGCCGUCACCGGUCCUGGCCCGCUGUUGGUCGUACGGUUAACCUUCGACAGGCCUACGAACGUCCCAGCGUGGGGGUCGCGGGGGCUCGUCUCCCGCUCUCUCUCGCGUUGGC